rnacentral:rRNA from 1 species
AGACCCGAAACCCGGUGAUCUAGCCAUGGGCAGGUUGAAGGUUGGGUAACACUAACUGGAGGACCGAACCGACUAAUGUUGAAAAAUUAGCGGAUGACCUGUGGCUGGGGGUGAAAGGCCAAUCAAACCGGGAGAUAGCUGGUUCUCCCCGAAAGCUAUUUAGGUAGCGCCUCGUGAAUUCAUCUCCGGGGGUAGAGCACUGUUUCGGCUAGGGGGCCAUCCCGGCUUACCAACCCGAUGCAAACUGCGAAUACCGGAGAAUGUUAUCACGGGAGACACACGGCGGGUGCUAACGUCCGUCGUGAAGAGGGAAACAACCCAGACCGCCAGCUAAGGUCCCAAAGUCAUGGUUAAGUGGGAAACGAUGUGGGAAGGCCCAGACAGCCAGGAUGUUGGCUUAGAAGCAGCCAUCAUUUAAAGAAAGCGUAAUAGCUCACUGGUCGAGUCGGCCUGCGCGGAAGAUGUAACGGGGCUAAACCAUGCACCGAAGCUGCGGCAGCGAACGUAUCACCCAAGACAACUUUACGGAGUUGACGAUUGACGGAGCGAAGCGACGUCAAAGCGUUCAUUAAAGUCGAGUUGGCUUAGGGAUACGUUCGUUGGGUAGGGGAGCGUUCUGUAAGCCUGUGAAGGUGUGUCGUGAGGCAUGCUGGAGGUAUCAGAAGUGCGAAUGCUGACAUAAGUAACGAUAAAGCGGGUGAAAAGCCCGCUCGCCGGAAGACCAAGGGUUCCUGUCCAACGUUAAUCGGGGCAGGGUGAGUCGACCCCUAAGGCGAGGCCGAAAGGCGUAGUCGAUGGGAAACGGGUUAAUAUUCCCGUACUUGGUGUUACUGCGAAGGGGGGACGGAGAAGGCUAUGUUGGCCGGGCGACGGUUGUCCCGGUUUAAGCGUGUAGGUGUGUGUUCCAGGUAAAUCCGGUUCACUUUAACACUGAGGCGUGAUGACGAGGCACUACGGUGCUGAAGCAACAAAUGCCCUGCUUCCAGGAAAAGCCUCUAAGCAU